CUUUUAUUAAUACUCUGCGUUUCAUAAUAUUUCACAAACUAAACACAUAUGGGCUUCGUAAUGUUGUUGUUUCCUGGGCUUCCUUCUUCUUAUUGAACUUUAAUAGGUCUCACAUUACUAAUGUCUACCGUUUUUCUCUUCUCUUCGUAUUGAUAAUUACGCGUAGCCGAUGAAUUGCUUAGGAACUCCAUAGCUUAGACCGUUCAUCUCUAAUACAUGAAACCAUUGUUUCCGGCGAUGGCCUAUUCAGACCUGGCGGAGGUGUCUUUCUAUUGAUUGCCAACUCACCGGCCAAUAAAUUCUGGGAACGUUACUAGAAUUCAAUCGUCGUCUUUUACGAUCUGUAAUUCAAUGUGUCCCCAUUAUUACUAUUGUGUGAAUCAUCCACUAUAAAUAGGUUAUCUCAUUCCAUCGAAACUCAUAUCAUUUAUUCCUCACCGAUUCUUUCUGGUUGCUCCGCUUAUUUAUUUUUAGAUUGUAUCCGAGAGGCAAGGGAGUGUCUGAGAGCGAGAGAGAUAGAGAGAGGAGAGAAUGAACGGUGGUGACGAGGUUGAAACUUUGUCGCCUUUGUAUUGGAGACUCUCUCUCAGGUAUUUGGUGAUGCUGUACAAGGACUGCGGCGGAGAAAGAUGUAACCAAGAACAUCGAUGGGUUAAUCCAAAAUAUUGGUUGUGAGCUCUCUCUUUCUUACCCAUUACUGUUCAUCGGGUUAAUGGUGGACGACUCAGGCAUGUCAGAUGAUCUAUUGAAAAUGCAUAUGUAUCACCAAUUUUGGAAAAUGUCAGGACACGUGAAAAUCUAUUGGAAGUUUCCAACAUGAUCAUUGUUGCCAAGCCAGAUGUAUUGAGGAUGAAGCUCUUGAAACUUUUCUACGAAGAUACAUAGUAUAACGUACGUGACACACUGACAUUAGACACAUGUUCUUCGUUUCUGAGAGAAUCCGGUUUCUAACACAGAUUCAAAAACAUCACUACCGUCAGAAACGGAACCACUCAGUGACAACGACAUCUGAUCUAAGAUAGAGUUUCCGAAUGCAGGGAGACAAAGUAGAGCGGCGGUUGUUGCAGGUGCCUUCAAAGGUGAUGAAGCAGACACUGCAGAAGAAGAGAACUAUGAUUUCUUAUAUGCUUCCUAAAGUGACCACGUCCAUUUUGUAAUAAAAGUUUUGCUUUCCUUAUUUUGUUCUUUCGAGCCUAUGAGAUUCAGUGAGUAUAGAGACUUUGUUGACUCUAAGUGAAACUUCUGGACUGUUUGGAAGGUCUCAACUUCUGAAGACUCAUUUAUCACUCGCAUCAUUACGGAAGUAAUUCUCUUCUAUU